rnacentral:rRNA from 1 species
GAUGAACGCUAGCGGCAGGCCUAAUACAUGCAAGUCGAACGGGAUUGCGGUAGUAGCUUGCUACUACUGCAUGAGAGUGGCGCACGGGUGCGUAACGCGUGAGCAACCUACCCAUAUCAGGGGGAUAGCCCGGCGAAAGUCGGAUUAACACCGCAUAACAUCAACAGUUCGCAUGUUCAGUUGAUUAAAUAUUUAUAGGAUAUGGAUGGGCUCGCGUGACAUUAGCUAGUUGGUAGGGUAACGGCUUACCAAGGCAACGAUGUCUAGGGGCUCUGAGAGGAGAAUCCCCCACACCGGUACUGAGACACGGACCAGACUCCUACGGGAGGCAGCAGUAAGGAAUAUUGGUCAAUGGGCGCAAGCCUGAACCAGCCAUGCCGCGUGCAGGAGGACUGCCCUAUGGGUUGUAAACUGCUUUUAUCAGGGAAUAAACCCCUUUACGAGUAGAGGGUUGAAUGUACCUGAAGAAUAAGGAUCGGCUAACUCCGUG